rnacentral:rRNA from 1 species
UGCAGAUAGUGGAUGCCUUGGCAACACAUGCCGAAGAAGGACGCACUAGACGGCGAAACUCGCCGGGGAGCUGUCAAGAAGCUUUGAUCCGGUGGUGUCCGAAUGGGGAAACCCGGCCCAGGUUAUUCUGGGUCAUCCGUGGCUUUUGUCACGGAAGGGUACGCGCAGAACUGAAAUAUCUAAGUACGCGCUGGAAAAGACAUCGAAAGAGAUUCCCUGAGUAAGCGACGAGCGAAAAGGGAACAGCCUAAACCCAUCGUAAGAUGGGGGUUGCAGGAGCCCAAUAUUGGAUUGUAUCUGUUGAAUAGAACGCUAUGGAAUGAGCGACCAAAGAACGUGACAGUCGUGUAUAUGAAAAACAGAUGCACCAUAGGGAUUUCCUAAGUACUUUCGGAGACGGCAAACUCCGGGAAGAAUCUGGGGCGACCACGCUCCAAGGCUAAAUACAUGUGUUGACCGAUAGCGAACGAGUACCGUGAGGGAAAGGUGAAAAGAAGGGUCGAAGACCCCGUGAAAUAGAAACUGAAACUAUCUGCUAACAAGCAGACAGAGUCCGCAAGGAUGAUGUCGUGCCUAUUGAA